CCUUUGACGUUAGCGGCGGACGGGUGAGUAACACGUGGGUAACCUACCUAUAAGACUGGGAUAACUUCGGGAAACCGGAGCUAGUACCGGAUAAUAUUUCGAACCGCAUGGUUCGAUAGUGAAAGGUGGUUUUGCUAUCACUUAUAGAUGGACCCGCGCCGUAUUAGCUAGUUGGUAAGGUAACGGCUUACCAAGGCGACGAUACGUAGCCGACCUGAGAGGGUGAUCGGCCACACUGGAACUGAGACACGGUCCAGACUCCUACGGGAGGCAGCAGCC
rnacentral:rRNA from 1 species